CACAACACCGGGGAUGAACAACUUUUGUCACGUGACCGCAAAAGUCAACGCCGGUUGCAGAAACAGAUUGUAAUCUUGUACAUUAAGAAACAUGACGCUCGUGUGUGAAAUCUGUGGAAAGACAUUUAAAUCGAAGUGGGGGUUAAAGCUUCAUGAUAAGCGCCACAGAGGGACUGGACGAUUCGCCUGUUGUGGAAAAACAUUUUACACAAAACAGGCGUUCAACAGACACAGAUGCAGCAUUCAUGGUGUUGAAAAGCCGUUCCCCUGUGAACAAUGCGGCAAAAAGUUUUCAACCAAAGAUGACCUGAAUCGUCACGUCCGGAGGGAGGUUGCUGCAAAGCAAUUUACCUGCUCAAUUUGCAAUGCAACGCUCCGGGAGAAAAUUGACCUUCAGGCCCACCUUGCCACCCACAAUGGAGAGAAAAACUUUGCUUGUGAUAUGUGUGAAAAGAGGUACAGGCACCGCAGUAGUCUAUCAAAGCACAGAUCUGCAAAGCACCGGGCCUAGUCAUCUGUUGCAUGACGAUGAUAAGACCAAGAAUUAUUUUUAAUUCUUACCAAUGUGCCGUGGUUAUUUUCUUAAUUAUUGAAAAUACAGACUGUCAUACAAUAAUAUAUAGUAUUACGCGUGUUUUUGCGUCUUAAACAUUGUGUUUCAUAUCGUUUAUCUUGUGUUGUUUUGUUUGAUAUUCCUGUUUUUAAUAAGAUUAUUGUUGUAAUAUUUAUCAUUCUAAUUUAAAAUGAUUAUGAUAAUGGUUGAUCUCAUACAAAUUAUUGUGUUCAUUAUUGCUCAUCUGUGAUUACUGUUGAUCUCAGCCCAUGAAUUGUGAUUUAUAUUGAUUAUCUGUGAUUAUUGUUGAUCUUAUCAAAAUAAUUGUAAUUUAUGUUGAUUAUCUGUGAAUUUUUUAUCUUAACCUAUUAAUAGUGAUUUAUAUUAUCUGUGAUUAUUGUUGAUCUUAUCAAAAUCAUUGUGAUUUAUGUUGAUUAUCUGUGAUUAUUGUUGAUCUCAACCGAUUAAUUGUGAUUUAUAUAACCAGUGAUUAUUGUUGAUCUUUUCAA